rnacentral:rRNA from 1 species
GAUGAACGCUGGCGGCGUGCCUAAUACAUGCAAGUCGAGCGAACAGACGAGAGUGCUUGCACUCUCUGACGUUAGCGGCGGACGGGUGAGUAACACGUGGGUAACCUACCUAUAAGACUGGGAUAACUUCGGGAAACCGGAGCUAAUACCGGAUAAUAUUUAGCUUCGCAUGAAGCAAUAGUGAAAGACGGUUCUGCUGUCACUUAUAGGUGGACCCGCGGUGUAUUAGCUAGUUGGUGAGGUAACGGCUCACCAAGGCAACGAUACAUAGCCGACCUGAGAGGGUGAUCGGCCACACUGGGACUGAGACACGGCCCAGACUCCUACGGGAGGCAGCAGUAGGGAAUCUUCCGCAAUGGACGAAAGUCUGACGGAGCAAUGCCGCGUGAGUGAAGAAGGUUUUCGGAUCGUAAAACUCUGUUGUAAGGGAAGAACAAGUACGUUAGUAACUGAACGUACCUUGACGGUACCUUACCAGAAAGCCACGGCUAACUACGUG